CACAAUUUGAGAGAAAUAAGCUUUUUGUGUGUAUGGAACAUUUCUGGGAUCUUAUAUUUCAGCUCAUGAAACAUGGGACCAACACUACAAAGAGCUGGGUUAAUUUAAAAUGGGACCUGGCUUCAUUACUUGGGGAUCAAAGAAGGCUAAAUAAGGUGACGGUGCCAACUUUUACUCCUUGGCACUGGGCUCCAGUACAACCCAAUGGAGUUCUGUGUGUGCUUUGGAUCUGAAGCAAGCUUUUACUAAUGUAAGUGAUCUUUGUUUUCCUAUUCACUGAGAAUCAAAGAUAAAAAUGUGGCCCUCUCAAGGACAUCAGA